UUCUGAAGUGAUGGCAAUCAUCUUUUGGGACUGAUCUGAACUGAAGACCAUACCAAAAAAAAUUCUGCA